GCCCUGGUGGUACAGUGGUUAAAUGCUCGACUACUAGCUGAAAAGUUGGUGGUUCAAAUCCACCCAGAGGCA
rnacentral:tRNA from 1 species